rnacentral:rRNA from 1 species
AACCUUCAACAACGGAUCUCUUGGUUCUGGCAUCGAUGAAGAACGCAGCAAAAUGCGAUAAGUAAUGUGAAUUGCAGAAUUCAGUGAAUCAUCGAAUCUUUGAACGCACAUUGCGCCCGCCAGUAUUCUGGCGGGCAUGCCUGUUCGAGCGUCAUUU